AGAGACCGGGUGACAGUCACUCAGUACUGCCUCUGCUGGCACUGUGCAGAGAGCCUUUGACACUGCCUACAUACUCAGAGUUCACAUGAUGACAUAAGCUCAACAAGGCAAAACCUGCCAGGUUAACAGAGCAAGAGAAGAAGAGGGUGAGUUCCUGCUCCAGCAGCAAGGUGGGCAUUACCUCACACCCGCCCUGCCCUCCCAGCAGAACAAUGCUCGAAUGUGUCAUGCAGCCUACCACAGUCACCACAGGAAGUUCCCCAUUCUGUCCUUCUGCACCAGCCUAAUACAGACACAAUUCUACAGUGCACUGCAUCUGGGAAGCUAAAGCAGACAAGCGAGACAAUCCUGCUGCUGAGAUUCACCCAAGCACACUGUGCACAGCCUUACAUGCAAACUCAGUCUAGCUGGCUUUCUUUGUCACCUGCUACUGUGUGACUGGAGUUCCACAAUUUGGGGUCCAAACCCUUGCUUCACUGGAAAGAAAACAAGGUGCAUCCCAAACAGAACCCAAGUAGCAGUGUGUGGCAGCCUUCUUCCCCGGCCACUGCAUUUGUUGACCCUAUGAGCUGCCUCUGUGUCACUGGAAGUCAAGCAGUGGAAGGAGGAAGGGGCUGGGGAGCAGAUGCCAGGGCUCUAAGCAGCUGCUUGCCUCGGUGCCUUGGGGACUGUGGAGGCUGUAUUGGUCCAGGUUCCCUAAGGGAACAGAACAGGUAGAAUAAAAGAGAGAGAGCAGCUUCUGUUUGAGAGUGGCUUACAGACUGUGACCUAACAAUCGGUGUCUCCCAGCAGGAUAGCCAAGAGUCUGGGAGUGUUCCCUUCAGGAGACCGGAUGUCUCAGCAGUCUCAAUCUGGUGAUGGAGUCUGGGAAGGCUCCUGGAGCCGCUGCUCUUCCGUCUCUGUGGAAUCCUGCAGAAGCAGGUUCUAUCUAACACGAGUGAGGGAAGGCCUCAGCAAGAGGGACCAACUCGCCAGCAACGGUGAGAGCAAGCAGACAGAGAGCAAAAGCCUCCCUUUUCCAAGUCCUUUUAUGUGGGCUGCCACCAGAAGGUGCCGUCCCACCUCAAAUGGUCCGAGCAAGAAAAUCCCACACAAGCAUGCCCAGCGGCUGGGAUUUUGAUUGGUUCCGGAUGCUGUCAGGUUGAUGAUCGAGCCUGGCCAUCACAGUGACCCGGUGCAACAGGUGGAAAGCUGGUGGUGCCUCAGGAUGAAAGGCAGAAAGGGAAGGAUACCGGGCCCCAGCAUCCUCUGAAAGAUAAUGUCCCCAAGCACUUGCCUCCUCCCACUCCACACCACCUCAUGGGUUCCCCUCUGUGCAAUGGCAGCUCAGGCUGCAGACAAGCCUCUAAGGCAUUCUUCGUUCUUUCAUUCCUUGGGAGCUCUCACUCACCCAGGCCAUGGCUCUGGGCCGCUGUCAGCUAAGUGCUAGGCUUGCUCCAGUGGCUCUCUAAAUGUCUCACUCCCAAGCACCAAAGUACGUUACUUUGCACAUAAACAAUAACUAUAUAUCACUUUAUAAUUAUUCCAACACUCGUGCUGGAACCUUCUUAAACUGAACCCAUACUGCACACCAGAAUGACUAAGAUCGGUCAUCAUAGGGGCUGCCAAGGGAGCAGCACAACAAAGCAUCACCCGCUGCCGCAGUGGUGGGCAGUGGUCUGCAGGGCUGCUUUAACUGUGCCCACUACAGCUGCCCACAUGUCCAUGCUUGGUCUACUGCUGGGUGUGAGCCCCACACGGCACAUGUAUAAGCCAGGGACAAACUGCACACAGCACAGAUGCAAUCUCCUGCACAUGGUCACAGGGAAAGAAGCAGACUGAGAAGUCGGUCAACUGCAUGGUUCUGCCUUGGUAAAGUUCUAAUCCUGCCCCAUCUACAGUGUUAUUAGGACAACAGUGACCAGGGAGCAGGGGACAUGAGGAUGUCAUGUUAUAACAUUUGAAGGACUUAAAAGUAAUCCCACUUAGUAACUUCGGAACUCUCACUUCCAGCAGGGUCUUAGAGAGAGAGUGAGCACACUAGCAUGCAAGUGUGUAAGUAGGUUAGUUUCCCACACAGUGAACAUUCUGUUCUGGGGAGACAGUAUGAAGACCGUUCCCAGAUGGUUCUUCCAAUCAGAAUCACAAACUAAUGAACCUUACAGCUGAGAGGGGAUUUAGAAAAUGCCAGGGCCAGUCUAAAACAAGGCAAGCCACCACCUCCUUAAGUUCCCCAGGCAUCGGAAGCCAACCAUGAGAUCCACACGUAGCCAGCAGUGGACAGACAUGGUUGCCACUGCUACUAUCAUGGCAUUAGGGGUGUGCACUCACACCUCUUUCACUCAGGUCAUCAGGCUUGGUGAUAGGCCCUUCCCUUACGGAGCCAGCUCACUACUGGCUCUACACACCAAGGGUCUAUGGGCAGUUUCGUGACCAGGACAACAUUACAUGAACACACGCACUGCACAAAGCCCCUGGCCUGUGUCCACUGCUGCACUCACACACAGUGAGGUGGACCUGGCCACGGCUGCUGGGUUUAAACCCAUGCAAUGAUUUAGUGUCUUAGUGUCAUGCACAAGGGCCAUGAAGAUGACACUGAGGACGAAACAAGCAUGCUGAUGGGGCUGACAUGAGACACAGCCCAAAGGUAAGAUUUGCUCAGGAGCCUGUCUUCACUAGCAGGCAUGAGUUAAGUGACCGUCACAACAAGAAUCUAUUUCAACCUGUGGCGAUGGUCAAUUCCACCAGGACUCAUUAACUCACUUUUGGUCAAUUCCACCAGGACUCAUUAACUCACUUUGAGUCUGAGACCCAGGCAGGAGGGCUGGGGUGAGGAGCAUCAGGCAGGAGGGCUGGGGUGAGGAGCACCAGGCAGGAGAGCUGGGGUGAGGAGCACCAGGCAGGAGGGCUGGCUCAAGUCCUUGGUUCCCCUGUGCUGAGCACCACAGCCAACUCAGACCCCAGCACUCAGCUUCGGGCCCACCAGGGAAGUGUGUUAUCUUAACACACUGCACAGUUAGACAACAAGUGACAUCUUAAGCACUAACUCAAACGGGUUUAACAACUACACAAAUAAACAACUAGAAAGAAAACAUAGAUUUUUGCUUUGGUUUGUGAACUUUAAUUUUUUUCUUUAAAUGUUAGUUCACGUCUUUAAUGUAUCCUUUUAGCUCCAUGUGCUUGCUGAGUUCUGGCACACAAUGCAGGAUUUCUGCAUUCCUGGUUAAUGUACUCUCUCCAGAAUGACAGGAAGAAAUAAAACAGUUGUGGUAAAGCAAUCAAAGCUGUCUCCCUCAAUUACAGCUGCAACUGUAAAUGGAGUUAGCUCCCAAACCAGGUGGUCAGAAACACAUCUAGAAGGAAAGACAAUGGAAUCGUUUACUUUGACCAAACAUAAAUCGAAGUUGCCCAACACCAGGAGAAACAGCUGGAGGAGAUUCUCCAAGUCGCUCAAACAUUUGCACGGACUGAUGCUUCAAAGGCAGGAGAGUCCUCCCUCAGAGCUCCUCAUCCUCAGAGGGCAGAGACAUGCCACAUGCAAGGCAAACAAGGACCAAUGGGGAGCAGGACUGAGUGGAGAUGCCACGCUCUGAACUCUAAACCACACCCUUAGGAAAGCUGAAUGGGCAAGGUCUACGGGCGGCCCUGACCACAAAUGUCCAACGCGCAUCAUCAGUGUUCACUCCAGAGAGACGUUCCUAGCAAGCUGUGAGGUAAGAUGAACACCUGACGUCUUAGGAGAUGCUGUGAUUCUUCUACUUCAUAUUCUCCACCCAUUCCAAAGUUAGUCUGAAGCAGCCUACACAUGGAAAUAGCCAAGGGAAAAAUACCAUUUCCUUCAACUACCAAAGUUGAGCUUCAGAGGUCAGGACUAUGGCUGCAUUCUCAAAAGACCUAAAGGCAGAAAUAAUGCUUAGGAUUUUCCCCUUUCCCACCACUGGCCAUGAAAGUAAACUUUUGGUCUUAUUUUAAAUCACUGGGCUACCUAGCGCAUUCAUAAGAUCUCUCUCUCUCUCUCUCUCUCUCUCUCUUCCUCCCUCCCUCCCUCCCUCUCCCCCACCCCUCUGUGUGUGUGUGUGUGUGUGUGUGUGUGUGUGUGUGUGUGUGUGAAGAAACAGUGUAUAUUUUAAAUAUUCAUGUAUUGUGUCUAGUUUCGUCUUGCACUGUGCACCACAUACAUGGGUACCUGCGGUCAGAAAAGGGCAUGAGAUCCACUAGAACUGGCGUUACAUUAAGUUGUGAGCCGCCAUAUAGAUGCUGUAAACUUAGCCCAGGUCCUCAAAGAAGCACAGCAGACCACCUUCUGUAUUACAGUACUGAGUGAAAGGCCGUGGUUGGCUUGAGGGAAGCAAAGGGAGAUGACCUUUAAACUCAGUGACCCUUGGUGUAUAAAGGUCAUGUUCCACUUACUUCCAAACUCUCACUGACUGGAACAUGUAUGUGGCCACCGUGGGGCAUGACACUAAUCAAGUUAAUGUCUUUUGUAAACACCACCUCUCUAAGAAAAGCAAUUACUAAAAGCUAUGGCUUUGGAACAUGCAAUGCUACUAACCACUGUACUACUAGGUCACACAAGGGGACUUUGUUAAGGAAAGAAAGCCCUCAUAAUUUGGAACUCUGAUGUCCUGGGGAAAAGAGACUCUGGAAAUGCUUGGUGGCACCUUAGAUGGAAAAGGGCACCCAGGGUCACAUAUUACUAAGCACUUCUCUCUCUCUGUCUGCUCAGGCACACAGGCAAGGCAAAACAUUUGAUGCAGAGCAAAAUGCAUGGCCUCAGGGUCAGGCUGCAAGAGAGCCUCUCCCUCCUCAGAGCCUCGGAUACUCAGCUACAGCCAGCAUCAGGCAACCUGCAACGCACCAGGCUUCCCAAUCUGUAACUAUACACAUGCAGAAAUGCAUGAAUAAAAGACUCCUAAACAUACUUUUACUGUACGGCAGGCUCUGAAAUUGCAGCUUAAUGGAUGCUGAAACCUCGCCUGUGUCGCUGCACUCACCAGUCUCACGACAUCGUGCUGACUUCUAUAAUGCGGCCGCGAGGUAAAGUUCAACACUUAUGUUAAGCUGAGGUAUUAUAUCAAUAAACUUCCCAUUGGGCAAGAUUUCAUACAGAACAUAGACUACUACUUCUGCUCAGCCCUGAGCCUUGCUUAUAGAGAGCCCACAAGAUCCUAGGAAAGGAGGGUUACCGUGGGGCACACUGUGCUCCCACAGCGUGGCAGCAGCAGGGAGCACAUCCGCCAGGCUGAUGCUCGAAGGGGAAGAGUCAAGGUGGCCAUAGCUUUGCUCCUUCUCUAAAGAGCACCGAGUCAGGCCGCUGAGCAUCAGGGCGAGCUCCUCUACUGUUUGCCAGCCCUUGACUGUAAGGUAUGGAUGCAAAGUGUCUCUGGCAGUUAGGGGGAGGGGGGCUGUUGUUCUGUCCUGCGAUGUACAGAUGUACAGCUGCAGACCUCUCCCCUGCCUGAGCAGCAGCAGUCCCAGCACAGGGCUCUGCAGGCAGGAGGUAAGGCUAGAACACAGGGCAUCUGUAAAAGCCACCUCAUGCUGGGCUCAGUCAAUACAACCCCACUUUCAUUCUCUUCACCCCAGAGGCAGACAGAGGCAGAGAGCAGAAACCACCCACACGCCACUAAGUGGCCCACUAAUGUUUUCCAAGGACAUGCUGGGGUAAAAGGCAUUCUUUCAAUGGCCUCUGAUCUGAGAAAGGACUCACUGUGCAAGAAAAAGGCAUUUCACACCUUGCACAAGUAAAAGGCAAGAAUAAGUUGUGUUUCCAGUGGGAGUCGCCUUCGUCCCUGCAUGGUGUCAUCAGUGAGCUGCUCUGCCGGAGAGCAGCAGCUCAGCCAGGCUCACUGUGCACCUUGAGGGGCAGCAAGUCUUUUCGACACACUCCUGUAUCUGCCACAUUAUUAAAGAAAAUGUAAGAACAAUGUAAAAGCAUUUUCUUUUAAUUGAAUGCACAAUUUCUGUACAAAAUCCUGUAACAGUGAUAAGCACUCACAGACAGGCAUGCAGACAAAGCAGUCACUUACAUAAACCAAUACGUCUCAAACACACUUGGAACAGUGUCUGACUUCUGUAGCCCACGUGCUUGACUAUAAUUAUGUCUACUUCAGUAAAGGCCGCCAGUCUCCCCGCCUGAAGCCGAGUGAGGAAGAGGUGAACAGGUAAAGUGACUCAGGCCAAGGCUGAGAAGAGCAGGGGAUCAGGCAAUUACAAUCCCAAUUCCCAUCAGAUGGUCCAAACGCUCAACUCCAGAUCCACGAACUCCCUACAGGGCGUAAGCCAGGUACUUUACUUUUAAUAUCUGCAAAUUGGGGAUGCAAUCACCUCUGGCUGAAGGCCUUCAGAGACUUUUACUUAAUUUUUUACUUAAUGUUUACUUAAUUUUUUUUUUUACUUAAUGUUUACUUAAUUAGCAGACAGGUAAGCCUCUCCCCACUUCCAAAUUACUUAUUUGAUCCGCACCCUGAGUCUGUGAGGUGUGAAGACGACUGUCUGAUUUACUGAUCUGUUGGCUUAAGUUACUUAUCUACACUUUGUCUGCAUCUGUGUCAGCUGUACUAAUGCCUGGCGCCCAAGGAGGUCCGAGAGGGUGCUGCAUGCCCUGAGACUGGAGUUGUGGUGGCUGUGAGCACC